AUGCUGUUUACCUCAUUUUCAAAUGCUUCAUCCUCCACUGCUGCUACUGGGAUCUCAUCUACAACAUCAACUACCACUACCACCACUGUCACCACCACUACCACCACUACCAUCACCAGUGGAUUUACCUUGAACAUAAAACCACUGACAUCAACUGGGAUUGAUAACACUGUACCUUUUACUUCGACUGUUAAUGCAAUCAUAACUCCUGUGAUGACAUAUGGUCAGCUGGAUGGUCUGGUAAACAAAUGGAGCCUUGAGUUAGAGGAUCAAGAGAAACACUUUCUUCACCAGGCCACCCAGGUCAAUGUUUGGGACAAUACUUUGAUUGAGAAUGGUGAGAAGAUUACUGCUUUGCAUGGAGAAGUAGAAAAAGUGAAACUGGAUCAGAAAAGGCUGGAAAAAGAAUUGGAUUUUAUCCUGUCACAGCAGAAGGAAUUGGAAGAUCUCUUGAUCCCUUUGGAGGAGUCUGUUAAGGACCAGAAUGGGUCUGUGUAUCUGCAGCACACAGAUGAGCGUGAGAGCACCUCCAGCAGAUCUGCAAAAUUCUGA
rnacentral:lncRNA from 1 species